ensembl:lncRNA
GCGGUGACCUCCAGCGGCUGCUGGCGUCAAUGCAAAGCAGCUGGGGCGCCCGCCGCCCGCCGCCCGCUCCGAGUACCGCCCGUCCAAGAGCAUGCGCGGCCGCGACCGCAGGGGCACCCAGCCAGCCCGUCCAGGGAAAGGAAGGGACUUGUUCAAGGAUACGUAGCCAUUCUGCUUCAGGGGCCACCGAGUUCGUUCACUGUCAGAUCACUGUGUUUGAGAUUUGGAGCUAUCAGAUCGCUGUGUUUGAGAUUUGGAGCUAUCGUCCGUUAAGAAAGCAGUUGGAAGGAACUCACUCCGAAGCGUUCAGAAGUCCAUGGGGACACCACACCUCAGGUCCCAGGCGUUAUUACCAGGGAUAGCCUUUGCUCCAAGACCUGGCAAUCACGCCUCUGGUUGCACUCGGACCGGUGCGACUGCAAUGCUUGAAAGCUAGUUUGUGGGAGGACUGCCUCUUAACCAAAGGACAAUUCCAGGUUCGACAGUCCGAAGGAUCAGAACCAUGGGAAGGGGUGUGCGCCGGUCCAGCAGGAACCAGAACUGCAGCCCCCAAGUGCUGCCAGCUAGCUAGCUGUGACUCCAGAUGAAUCUCUUAACCCCUAUGUGGCUGAAACUGCAGGGCGACGCCCCUGGGUGUGCAUCUGAUACCCAGAGCCAGCCACUUCAGGGGCCUUCCCGCCCUUCUUUGCUCUCCAGGUCCACCGGGACCCUGGCGGGACCGUAGCUUCCUUUCCUCAGUCCACACCUUUCCUACACGCACCCGGGUGCGACCCUGAGAGUCUGAGACUCCCGCCCGCGGACUGGCUACUGUGAAGACCCGGAGAUGUACUCCGGGCUGAAGUCCCUGCUGAGUCGGACUCAGGUGCUUGGUCCCUGUGGCAGCUGCAACGUCCUUGAGCAUCGAUCUUCGGCACCAAAGGAGGAUGCAGGGCGGCUUCCGGAGCGGAUAAGGCUGGAGCAGCUUUCUGGUCUUCUUUUCUGGCAAUUGGCACACAGCUCUGUCUUAUAAAAGUAUCACUGGCUCUUCCAAGGUGUCUUGAAAAACAGGAAAAGUUUUUGUAAUGCCACCCGUUAUUCCACCCAGACUGUGCAAUCUUAGAGGGUAGUUUUUUUUUUUUUUUUUCAGCCGGCCGCUGGAUCCCUGGAGAAAUUGCCUUUAGUCACAGAUGCGCAUACAAGUCUAAGGCUCUUCUCUCCGCCCACCUAAAGUCUGGCCUUGAGGACUCCACACUGACCUUGUUGGUGAAGCUCCAGGAAGCCCCGGCCUCCUGGCCCUCCCCUCGC